rnacentral:rRNA from 1 species
GGGUCAGUAGGUUGGUCGUGCCACCGGUACGUACUGGUCUCACUGAUUCCUCCUUCCUGAAGAACCGUAAUGCCAUUAAUUUGGUGUUGCGGGGAAACAGGACUGUUACUUUGAAAAAAUUAGAGUGUUUAAAGCAAGCUAACGCCUGAAUACAUUAGCAUGGGAGAAUGAAAUAGGACGAUCGAUCCUAUUUUGUUGGCUUCUAGGAUUGACGUA